UGGGGAAUAUUGCACAAUGGGCGCAAGCCUGAUGCAGCCAUGCCGCGUGUAUGAAGAAGGCCUUCGGGUUGUAAAGUACUUUCAGUCGGGAGGAAGGUGGUAAGGUUAAUAACCUUAUCAAUUGACGUUACCGACAGAAGAAGCACCGGCUAACUCCGUGCCAGCAGCCGCGGUAAUACGGAGGGUGCAAGCGUUAAUCGGAAUUACUGGGCGUAAAGCGCACGCAGGCGGUUGAUUGAGUCAGAUGUGAAAUCCCCGGGCUUAACCCGGGAAUUGCAUCUGAUACUGGUCAGCUAGAGUCUUGUAGAGGGGGGUAGAAUUCCAUGUGUAGCGGUGAAGUGCGUAGAGAAGUGGAGGAAAACCGGUGGCGAAGGCGGCCCCCUGGACAAAGACUGACGCUCAGGUGCGAAAGCGUGGGGAGCAAACAGG
rnacentral:rRNA from 1 species